CCCAGACUCCUACGGGAGGCAGCAGUGAGGAAUAUUGGUCAAUGGCCGGAAGGCUGAACCAGCCAAGCCGCGUGAAGGACGAAGGUGCCAAGCAUUGUAAACUUCUUUUGUCAAGGGACAAAAUCAGGCUCGAGAGCCUGACCGAGGGUACUUGAAGAAAAAGCAUCGGCUAACUCCGUGCCAGCAGCCGCGGUAAUACGGAGGAUGCGAGCGUUAUCCGGAUUUAUUGGGUUUAAAGGGUGCGCAGGCGGGUUGUGUUGGCAGCGGGAACACGGCGGGGGCCACCCCCCGGCCCCGCCGUUGAAACUGGCAGUCUCGAGUUGGAGAGAAGUAUGCGGAAUGCGCGGUGUAGCGGUGAAAUGCAUAGAUAUCGCGCAGAACUCCGAUUGCGAAGGCAGCAUGCCGGCUCCACACUGACGCUGAGGCACGAAAGCGUGGGUAUCGAACAGGAUUAGAUACCCGAGUAU
rnacentral:rRNA from 1 species